rnacentral:rRNA from 1 species
AUUGAACGCUGGCGGCAGGCCUAACACAUGCAAGUCGAACGGUAGCACAGAGAGCUUGCUCUCGGGUGACGAGUGGCGGACGGGUGAGUAACGUCUGGGAAACUGCCCGAUGGAGGGGGAUAACUACUGGAAACGGUAGCUAAUACCGCAUAACGUCGCAAGACCAAAGUGGGGGACCUUCGGGCCUCACACCAUCGGAUGUGCCCAGAUGGGAUUGGCUAGUAGGUGGGGUAAUGGCUCACCUAGGCGACGAUCCCUAGCUGGUCUGAGAGGAUGACCAGCCACACUGGAACUGAGACACGGUCCAGACUCCUACGGGAGGCAGCAGUGGGGAAUAUUGCACAAUGGGCGCAAGCCUGAUGCAGCCAUGCCGCGUGUAUGAAGAAGGCCUUCGGGUUGUAAAGUACUUUCAGCGGGGAGGAAGGCGGUGAAGUUAAUAGCUUAACCGAUUGACGUUACCCGCAGAAGAAGCACCGGCUAACUCCGUGCCAGCAGCCGCAGUAA